rnacentral:lncRNA from 1 species
UUUUUUUUUUUUUUACCCCUAGCUAUAUCCUUCCCACCCUCAAUUGUCAAGUUCAGAAUUUGAAACUAAACCUUUUGAUUAGUGAUAAACAAAUUUUCGUAUAAUAUCAGUAAAUAAAUCCGAAGUUUGUCACAUAGUAACAAAAUAUAAUUAUAAUGUAGGGUGAUGAGAAUUUCUUCCUCUAUCAAGGUAUCUUUAUUUAAGGGGGGAAAAAAAUUAUACUGUACAAAAUAAUUCCAAAUUGUAAAGGGGUUGAAAAUCAUUUGAAAGUUUAUCAUACUUUUUCUUUGAUAAUGAUUUUCUUUUGUAACGGUUAUCCCACAGUGGGACUAUGGGAUAAGACAUGAUGAUUGAAUUUUGACAAGCCUUGCUUGCUCCUUCCGCGAAAACUGGGAGAGAACCCAAAAUAGAAGAUGGCCGAGUUGGGUCCAUUCAACCUUAAUCAAGAUUCAAGAUUUUUUGAUGAGGGAAAUUUUCUUUUCAACUCUCAAUAAUUGAAAUGAUGACAUCAAAGCCACAUUACUAGUGGAAAAUAUAUCAAACAAAUGCAAGAGAUAGAAGAAUAUCUUUCAAAUUUGAAGAAUUAAAAGACAACAUUUAUAGAACUCCAUAAUUUCCUACAAAUAUUUAUGCAAGCAAUUAAUAGAAAAGUCUAGUGUAUACCAAUUCCAAAUCCCAAGAACGAAUAACCAUUAAUGGUCACAGGGCACGAAGUUUAUUUGAACGAACAUGGACCAUUCUCUUGGUUUGAGUAAUUUUAUUAUCAAGUUAAAAUUUCUCGAAUUUAACAAAUUUGUAAUCUUUUCCCCCUUGAGCCAAGUUCAUGUCUUACCACUGUAAAAAUUGAUAUUCUACUUUGCAGCUUUUCUUGUGCUUUUAUGGCUUUAAAUGCUUUUAACCAAAAGUUUUUUCAUUUCGUUGAAUUUCAAUUACAAAAGAUUUUUCAAAUUUGUUGCAAAAACAGAAUUUCGAUAUUCGAAUUUAUAUUUUCUUUUCUAAGUUACACUGAGAUCCACAAAUUUCAUUGCCAAAACUAUUUUUCAUAAUAAUAAUAAUAAUAAUAAUAAUAAUACAAAAGGACAAUCAAGAUCAAUGAAUUCAUCAUUUUAUCAUUCCUUUUCUCUUCCGCAUGCCCACAAUUAUUAUGUUACUAUGUUCUAACAGUGAAAAUCAGCACGUUUUGGUGUCUGACCGCUAAUUAAAACGGUGUGCUAGAUGAGAAAUUUGAGCCGAUACCGCACAUUGGACUUUAUGGGAGAAGUUCCUCAUCUGAAAAGAUGAAGAAGGGCAAAAAAUAAAAUAAAAUUGCAGAGGGCUCCCAAUACCUUUUCUUUCUUUCUUUUUUUCCUUUUUUUGAGCUGAUCAAGAAUUUAUUGUGCAAAUGAUCAAGGUCAUCUUUGUACAAAUGGAUCAAAGAAGCAGAUAUUAAGUGUACGUUUGAUAAAACUGAAAUCUGAAUCUAAAAUCUGAACUCUGAAUCUAUUAAAUUAUUGAAUUGUUAAAUAUUAAAUUUAAUACAUUUGAGUGCAUAUUAUAUUUAGUGAUAAGUGAAUAGAUUAUCACUUAAUUUUGGAAGCAAGUUUUACUUAAAAAAUUCAGUGUCACUUAAUUAAUUUAGAUGUUCAAUUUUUGGUUAUCAAAUGAUUUGAAUAUAUUAAUAUCUGAAUGCAUUAAAUUUAAGUGCUAAAUUGGAUUAUCAAUCAAGACUAAGUAUUAUCAUUAUAUCAACACUAGUACAAACCGUGUGCUGUCGGCUGAUGAUAAGACUAUGUUGUUUAGUUAUCAUAUCUGUCCAAGAAAACCCUGAAAUUUCUCCGAACAUGGAGGAGCCCAACUUUGUGAACCCCCCUCUUGCACUCUAGCUUUUCCAUGUACCAUAAGAAUUGGCUCGUUCAAAACAGCUGGCUGAUAGUGAAAUGAUUUAACCUGUUAUGAAGCUUCUUCCUGUAAGCAUAUUCAUUUUCCGGGCAUUCGUUAUAAAAAUUCUAAAAUUAAUAUGAGAGAAAAAAGAAGCAAGUUUCAGUUUGGAAAACUCUCAUAUUUCCUGAGAUGAAAUUGGAGCACCUAAUUAAUAAUUAUCAUGCCAAGGGCAUGUUCAGGAGGCUCUUUGUUAUUGGGAUAAAUAAUCAAUCCAAAUGGCAUGUAUUAGAGGUCACUAGCUAAAGCUGUUUCGAUGAAGACUUUUAAUUUGUGGAUAAAGUUGCAACGCAGAAUGAUAAGUUGAAGAGUGUAAAGACUAACUACUAGUACUUCUUUACAUCUAACUAUUUCCACACACACCGAAAAGAAUGGAGAAAAAAAAAAAAACGAAGCAAUGAGAAAGGAUUGUGAAAGAUUGAUCUCUAUGGUUUAAGCCCCUUAUACAAGGUUAAGCCAUUAAAAGUGUCAGAUUCAUGCACCCUAGGAUAAAAGUCUAGCCAUAAGGAAAGGAAGGAUAAUUUCAGAAACCUCCCUUGAGGCUACUAACAAUUUCACUAUUCUCUCCUGAGAUUUGUAAAAUUAUACUAACCUCCCUUAAGAUUUAUGAUUUGAUAACAAAAUCAGACCAUCUUUGAAAAAGUAUGAUUAAAAAAUUACUUCCAGGAGAGAGAUGAAAAUUUUGUCUCACAAAUGGCCUUUAUGCAUUUCAGUCAAGUUGUAUUAGUAAGAAGAAUUAUCAGUCAAGAUGUAUUGCAGUUAUAAUUGUCUCAAAAAAUGUCAUGAUUUUCAACUAAGAUUAUACUUUUCAAAUAUUAAACUGAGAAUAGUAGAGAUCAUUUAUCUGACUUAGGGUAUGCCUUUUGUGAUUUUGCACUGAAAAAAACUUCCAAUAUUGUCUUUUCUUUACCUCCUUUCUCAGCCACUUCCAUGAAAUUACCUUGAUACAAACGCCAUCUCUUUAAUUUCUAAAUUAAGGGAAAAAUCCUCAAGAACAAACUUGUUUUUAUAUUUCUUUUCUCGGUACUUACUUUGUUCUAUGUGAACCUUUCUUGUAUACGAUUGAAAUGUGGUCAUGUCAAGUCCUAUCAAUCACAAAAUGGCGCCAAUUGAUGUAGCAAAUUGGCGCUAUUUUGUAUCUUCCACGCUAUUGUUCAUGCUGUUAACAAAUAAUUCUGUUAAUUAGUUGAUUUGUAUCAUAAUUACUUAAUUCUUAGAUUUGAGUUUCUAAUCUCAAAUAAUGUAUUGGGGUAUAUGAGUAAUUUCAUCCAAGAUGAGCGCCCCUUAUUCUACUAGGAGAGAUCAGUGUAAUUUCCCAAACCUCAGGUGAGGUCACUGAAAUUCUCAAAAAUCUCAAGGAGGUUUUUGAAAUUAUCCUGAAAUUAUAAUGCCACUCAAGGAAUCAAAUCAACAAGUCAAUGUCAAUCUAGGUUAAGCUGCUGGCAAAUCAAACGCAAACCAUAGUUUACUGCGUGUGUGUGUGUCUGUGAGAGAGAGAGAGAGAGAAAUUUUUUAGUUGGAUAAACAGAAAGAAUUAAGGUGGAAAUAGAGCUGGAGGUGGGGUGUAUAGUUCCAUGAUCUCACAGAGCUCAAAGCUGCGGACUGACCUAACCUAACAAGCUUUCCGGCAGCACGCGGAAAUCUACUGGCAAUAUGGGCUGAACACAGUUAAGCAAUAUUGCAUGCUCAAAAGGUAAGUAACCAAAAGAUAAUCGUUCUUGCACGCCGCACACGGUUUAGCCACGCCUUCUACAGCUUUUCCACGCGACGAAAGGGUAGAUUUUAGCUUUAAUUAGUAGUAUUCUUUAGGGUAGUACACUUUGUAAACAAAUGGGCUCAUGAUUAAGGGUGCAUUCAUCCUCCCAAUCAAAUUUUCAAUACAUUGAAACCCUCCCCCUCGAGGAGCAAGGGCCUUUAAAUAAUUAUCUCGAGGAAUGUAAGGGAGUCAUUGAUAAAAGCGUACGAGGGUUGGAAAUGGAUAUGAGUGUGUGUUUGGAUAGCAAAUUAUUCUAAAUAAAAUUUUGUUUGUAUUGUAAAUACAUUUUUCAACAUUUUUUUAUAUUUUUAAUUAUUUUUUUAUCUCACAUAUAUCACAUCAUAAAAAGUACUACAGUAAUUAUUUCAAAUAAUACUCUAUCCAAACAGAUAUUAUACUUAUUGUUGGGCAGAUUACUAUAAAAAGUAUUCUAUGAGAAUGAAAAAGUUGUUAUUAUAUUUUGGGAAAAUGACCUGUUUCAUCCCUUACAUUUCACAAAAAUAUUCUUUUCGUCCAUCACUUUUAAAACGAAGCAAUUUGGUCCCUGACAUUUAAAAAUUAAACCUAUUACAUCCCUGAAUCUAAUUAUCAAUCUAAAUCAAACCAUCCAAUAACCCAGUGAUAAAUUUCGGAAAUAGAAUUGAUAGAUCAUUCCGUCAACUCCAUCAUAUUCACAUGACAUUUAUUGAACCAAAAAAAAUAAAAAGUAUAAGAUCACAAAAGGUCAUUCUUUGUCUUGAAAUAAUAGAGUUUUUUUUUUUUGGAAAAUCUUUUCAUGUACCGUUAGUAUAUACGCUUGCGAGUCUAGAUGUAUAUCACAAAUACAAAAUGUGGCGUUUAAAUUUAAAUUGAAAUGAUGUGGCAGGUACAUAAACCCAUCAGUGUAUACAAUGACAUUGUAAGAAAGAUUAAUUCUUCUUUUAGAUGUUAUAAUUUUUUAUUUUUUAUUUUUGGGUUCAUUAAACUUCACGUGAAUAUCAAGUUGAGUUAGUCAAGUGAUCUACAAAUUAUACCCCCCAAAAUUUGUAAUUAAGUUGAUAGAUGGUUUGAUUCAGAUUGAUAAUUGGGUUCAAGGAUGUAAUAGGUUUAAUUAUUAAAUGUCAGGGACCAAAUUGCUUCGUUUUAAAAGUGAGGGACGAAAAGAAUAUUUUUGUGAAAUGUAAGGGAUGAAACCGGUCAUUUUCCCUUAUAUUUUACCCUUUAUUGUUCGACUUGAGUUUCAUAGUGGUUAACUCAUUAGUAGAAUGAAAAUCCAUAGUUAAGGAAGAAAGAUGAAAAUUCAUGCUUAUGGUUGGGGACAGAACUAGGGAGGCGCAGGACUGAGCCACUGCUCCUCCAAGUUCUAAAAAACUAGCCUUUUCUCCCUUAAAAAAAAUUAAAGAGUCCAAAAAAAAAAAAUCUAAGUAAAUUGAAACUUUUCAUAUACCAAAGUUUUAGAUAUGUUAAAGUUUGUUCCCGCAAAAUAUAUUUUUUUGGUUCCGUCUGUCUAUGCCUCUAUGCCUAUGGUGGGAUUUGUGGAUCCGAUUCUGAUCUUAUUCUGUAAUCCCAACCCAACGCCUUCAAAAUAUUUACAGAGUUUAUCUACUAGGAACCCAACAAUGAUAGAUUCUUUUGUAAGUGUCUAAGCUUUUUUGAUUAAAUAACAAAUCUUGUCCUUUUUUUUUUUUAAUUGAAACGUACAAUCAUUAAGUCAUUCUGAUUGUGAAUUGUGUGGUGGAAUCCAAACUGUCCUUCCCAAAUAAUUGAGCAUAUAUCACGGGUCUACUUGAUACCUUCUGAAGCUCUGAUAAAUAAUUUGGUGAUCCUACAUAUAUAUAUAUAUAGCAAAUUUUGUCCUAUAUAUCCCCUGUUGAUGGUUAACUCCCCACUGAAACAUUUUGUUUGUAUUUGACACCUUUUGGCAUAAGGUUAAGGGACUUGAUGUUGGAAUGAGAAAUAUUUAGUACUGGGAUGUGUGUGAAAGUUUUGAAUACUGAUUUGAGCACACAUCUAAGUCCUUUUUAUAACGAGUAUUCAUGCCAUAUUAACCAAAAAAAAUAGUGUGAUGGGACACUGAUCCAGGCCAUAAUUGCAAUUAGUGGUUUGAUUGGCUAGUAAUGGCCUGGCCGGUAAUAAGGAAUGAACCCUCCUACCUCCAUAUCCCAAUUCCCAACAACACUUUCCUUAAUCUUAUUCACUAAAAGUCUCAUAAUCUAAGCAAUUACAGCUUGUUGCUCCCAUGAAUCAAAUAAAAAUCAACGAGUCGUGUUUCCCAUUAUGUGACUCUAAAAGGAGAUUUUUGCUCCAUUAUAGGAGUAUAUCUUAGGGUAAAAGAGGUUUUAUACAUGAAACCCGGCCAACUGCUUUUGUACCCAAUUUCAUGCCCUAGAUACAUUAGUUUUUCAUAUCUCUUUUUUUUUUUUUUUUUUUUUACAAUAUUAGGUAUUACUACUAUAAAGUAUGAAAGUACUUCUCAAGAAUUGAUGCUGUGUCUCCUUGAAAAUCAACUUCAGUGAGGCAGUCAAUUCUUUGCUGCCUAAAUGGAAGGUUUUUAGCUGAAACCCUAUUAUGGGCUGGAAUUUUUUGUUAUAUGAGAAAACAUAAAGUAAUUGUCUAGAAGAUAACAAGGAGUAUGGCCUUUUACAUUGAUAUGCGUAAGCCCAAUACUACUAAUGUGAUGUGAAGUGAUUGCUUAGAAUAAAUGAUAAAGUGGCGAUAUGGUAAGAAUAAUAGUUGUUGCUAAUAAGUCUCAGUAUCUACGUAACAGAUUCUUUCAACUUUAACGAAAAAGAUCAAAAUAUAAAAAGCAUUCAGUCUUUACAAAAUAUAUAUGGCUAUUUAAGUUAUUUAUAGGGAUAUUUCAAAAACCUCGGCGCUUGAGGUUUCCAGCAAUUAUAGAGAGCUCACCCUCAAGUUUCAAAAAUUACACCUACUUCCCUCGCUUUAAGUUUACGGUAACAAUAUAGAACUCAAUAGCCUAUAUUUUUUCACAAAUAUCCUAAAAUAGUAUCCGCUUCUUCUAGAGAAUAAGAGCAAAAAAAAACAAGGUUUUUAAAAUCUUUAACUUCUUAUACUGUAGGGCAUACUCAAAAAGCAAACAAAGUCGCAACGACCCCACUUCUUUCUGAAAAAUUCAUGUACUUUGCUAAUUCUUCCUGAAUGAUAACUCACUACCAGCAACUACCAAACUGGGCGUCAAACCUGUUCAAUAAUAAAUACCUGCUCAAAUAAAAUACAAAUUCUGUAUAUAGCGAUAAGCAGGGUCGAAUCCAUAGGGACUGGGGAUAAUUUAAUUUCUUCUCAAGUUCCAGAUAUGGGGGGUUUUUGAAAAUGAUAGUAACUAAAUUACUUGGAAUAAAUUAAAAUAAAAUAAAAUAACUACAACUCAAAUAACUAAUUAUCACAAUAAAAAUAAUAAUGGACGAACUCUAGCCAAGAGACAACUUCGGAGAUGGUUCAUUUAAUUCGAUCACAGAUGCAAGGAUUAUUCCAGUUACUAUCUGAUAAAUUAGUUAUAGUUGUCAUACACGCGAUAAACAACCAACUCUUCCUCAAUUUGUCGAUAGCCAAGGUACGACCGUUGACUAUUUCUCUAAUCAGGAAAUAACCCUAGGUACGACCAUAGAAGUUCAAUUCCCUAAUUGCAUGAGUAAUUAGAAGAGUCUAAUUCUAACCAAUCAACACGCUACGAGGGUCUCUUUAAGUUAGCCUGCCUAUCUCCCCGACACAAACCCAAUCAUGCCAGUUGCCACCAGUUUAGAAUAAUUAAACAAUUACGGAUUUAACUACCCUAAUUGGCUUCAGGUUAUUGAAUUAAUCUAGAAUCCGGGCCCUGGAUAAUCAAAUAAUAAAACAACCAUAUGAACAUAAAGCAGAAGAUAGACGAAUACCAGAAGAUAAUAGGAAAUAAAUAAAAACUAAUUCGAUCUCACAAAUUUAGUAGAACCAAGUCCUCCGUUGUUCCUCGACUAGAUGAGAAACUUAGCCACGCCUCAUGAGAAAAUCUCCACGUAAUUUAAUUGAGGUUCAGGCCAUAAGAAAACCAAGAAAAAAUAAAACUAAACUAUGCUAAAAACUAAGCUAAAACUAUUGAUAAGAUAACCUCCUGUACGUUUUUCCCUUUUUAAAGCCAAAAGAAAGUCUAAUGCUAUCUCUAGUGGUCCCCACUGAAUUGAGAGUCCAAGGGCCAAAAGAAUUGGAGCUUUACCAAAGUCCUUGUUUUUAGUUUCCUCUUUACCCGUAAGACUCCUAGUACAAGUCCACCCUUUUCAGUAUAAAGAUAGGAAAUCCCUUUUUGUAGCAUCCUGUGGAGCCCGGCUUGUAUUUCCUUUUAGAACUUCCCAUGUGUGGAGUGUUUUUCUCAAUAAAGUCUCCUUUUUAGCACUUGUUUGCUCCACUUCCUGUAAUUAGGGCCAAAUACCAAAUAUAAGUACAUUUCAACAAUUAAAACAAUAUUUGGCAAGGACAAAGAGGGAAAUUAAUCAUAAAAUUAACAACAAAUUAUGCCCUAUCAAUUCCCCCCACACCUAAAUCAUUCUUGCCCUCAAGCAUAAGAACAGCAAUUGAACACCAAAAAUUCGACAAUGGCUAUUGCUCUAACUAUCAUAUUGCCAAGAUGCCCAGAAAAACAUAUAUCAAGCAUCACAGUUAAGAUCCAAGAAAGACCACUCCGGUUAGCUUCCCAACCACCAACUCCUCCAAUUUAAAGCAAACUAAUCUAAGAAAAAGGAAUAGUUGCUCACAUUUAUUAGCAAAUGGUCCAACUAUUAACUAAAAUAUCGACAUUAAGAUCACAAACCGGCAAGCUGACUUAUUCACAUACUAACACAAUCUUUACUUUACUUUUUUCCUUUUUUUUUUUUUUUUUUUUUUACCAGUGACAAAAGACUUAGUCUAUAGCCCUUAGAGCCUUUUGACGCGAACUCCAACAUUUGACAGAUGGAGGAGCCCGGUUACUCAGCUCCAAUCGCUACAGGACCACGCACUCAUAGCAACUACUACCUUUUGACGCGAAAAUCGACACUUUAGGUGAAGAUUCCCGGUUACUCAGUAGUAAUCACUAGCGGAGUACAGUCAACUCUUAUUUACAACCAUACAGCACAAUAACUAAAAAUAAAAAAUAACAGCAGCCAGCCUCAAAUUUCCAAAUAUGGAGAACCAAAAUUAAUAACUGGACCAAUUCACAUGAAAAAUGCCAACUAUCAUUCUUUAUGCCUAGAAAAGUUAACCAAAAAUUAGAAAAGUCAAGCAAUUACUGAUAUUCACCAGAGGGAUGUUCCUGAACUCAACCACAUCAACUUGAUACCUUUUUAUUAAUAAACUUGGCAAUAGCAGAAUUAGAGACAACAAUCCAGUGUCAAACUUGGUAUUCAUAUGAAGACUGACCACUAGAAAAAGAAAAGAAAAGAAAACAAACGAACAAGGAGAUAAAUAUCAAACUAAAACAAAGGAAAAACCUCUAGAAACUAAAAACAAAAAUACUAGCACCCCAACUGAUCCCCCCACACCUAAUUCACACAUUGCCCUCAAUGUGAUAAAUAAACAAUAAUAGUAAGCAAAAGAGCAACGGUACUUCCCUGAAAUCACGGGGACCAUGGCGGGGCCACAGCAGUGAGGGAGGCGGGGAAUGGUUGAGUUGGGUUGGAGUAGGCUAAGGUCAAGAGAUUCUGGACCUAGAAGAGAACCUUGAUCUCACUAUUGCCGCUAACAAGUAACCCAAUCAAUAGAAACAAAAUUGCCAACAUAUAGAGGAACAAGUAAAUGCAGAUCAGUAGAAAUCCAUAUCCUCUAAUGAAGUCAACAAUCAACCCAAUAAGCACAGGUAGCUCCCAAUUCAAAAGGGUAGUGCAUAAUAAAUGGCUCACCAAAUUAGCAAUUUAAAGCCCUGAGCAAUUUAAACCCAACAAGUCAAUCAGUACCAAAAAACCACUCCAAACAAUGUAACAGUUAAACUCCACAGGCAAAGGACGUCCAACCAAGUUCACUCAAGCAAACUAGGAGCAAUGCGACUGAUUAAACAAAGCAACGAAUUUCAGCAAAUGGACUCAUAGCCACCCAAAAUCCCAACAAAUGCCCUAAAGAUUUAGCAAUUGAAAUCAAUAGGUAAAAUACUCCAGCAAGUCAAUUAGACGCCACCAACAGCAAUAAUCAAUGGAAGUGGCACAGUAGCCUUCCAAUUCAACAAACAAAUGAAGAAAAUACCCAACCAAAGGCACUUCAAGGGACGCAAGACAGAAAUCAGCAAAGUAGAACUCAAGUGAUACCAAAAAUAACCUCGACAAAGCAGUGAAUUCAACCAAUUUGAAUACGUAGAAUACGGUCAGAAAUGCCUCCCAAAGAUCAACCGAGAGCGACAAAAAAUUGCCCACCCAAAAUCUGUCCAAAUGGUUCCAAUUGGAUAAGAAAUUACACAACUCAACCAACCGAAAUUAGCAAAUGAGCCAAGAAACCGUCAAAACCAGCAAUAGUAGUUCAAAUUUUGGACUACAACUAAAUCAAAACGCUUGGCAGUUUUCGAUCAAGUAGCCCACCAACUAGAACCAAGUGGCAACAAAUGUAGUUAUAAUACCCCAACCAGUACCACUGGUGCAUCCCACAGAUAAUGAAGCAACAUAAACGGCCACCCCAAUCAAGAAAAUGGAAACUUCAAGCACCUAAGGACUAGGCGAAAGUCUCAACAAAGCAACUAUUACAAACAAUAAGCAGUGGUGGUCCGAAUAUUAGUCAAUGCAGAAAUCAUGCAACUCAAAAUCUCGGCAAGUACUCCAAUGAGCUUAGCAAUUGAAAUCACAAAACCGAAUACUCCCCAAACAAGGUACUUAGAGUCAACCAAUGGCAAUACUAAUUCAACAAACCAACCCAGAAAAUUACCCAACUAAGGGUGCAAUAGGGAUCUCCGAACACAGCUCCAAACACCAACAAUUGAACAAAUAGAAACUAAACAGCCCAAAAAUCAAUUAAGUAGAUAAACACAUAAAAACUUCACUCAAAAACUAAUUAAACAUGGAAACAAUGAAAUUUCCCCAAAUUACUUCAGAUUCCACCCCAAAAUUGGACAAAUAGUGUCAACCAACCACAGAUGAUAUCACAGCACUCAAAUCAACCACAAAAAUGUCUGGCCUCAGCUAACAAUUUAAAAAUCUGUCCUCAGCUAAUUAGAACUAAUAAUCUGGCUUCAGCUAAUUAGUGACAGUAAAUUAAAGAAAGAGAUCACCGGAGGUUUUGACUGGCAGUGGGUGAAGUAGAGAGCCGGGGUGACAACAGAGGGAGAGGAAAGCGCGUGGCGAGCACGCGCGUUGGAGAUGGCGGCUGCUGCUGGGAGUUGCGCCAAGAGCAGGGUGGGCGCUGACGGAGGAGGAGCUCGGGUGCGCACUGCUGCUCUGGUGCAGGAGGCGUGGCGCGCAGAGGUUGCUGAUGGCAGCUGCGCGAUGGUGGUCCGCGCACGAAGGCUGCGCGAUGGAGCUGGUGGAGGCUGUCCUGGUCGCGCGCAGGGGCGUGCUUGAGCUGCAAGUGGCGGCGCGCAGAUGCUGUGCGCCUGACUGCUUGGUGCGCAGGUGGCGAGCUGCUGGCGUGCGAGGCAGCCGUGAGCUCUGCAGGAUGGCCGCUUCUGGGCCGCUCUGGACUGCUGCUGCUGGAGCUGGAGCUGGACGCGGAGGAGGCUGGUGAGCGGAGGGGUUGCCUGCGAGGGGGGAUCGCGCGAGGUGUUGGGCGGCGCGCGCGCGGUCUGCGCGCACGGGCUGCGAUCCGUGACUGCGGCUGAGUUGCGCAGAAGGCGGCGCGCAACUGAUGGUUCGCGCGCACGGCAGCGCGCAAAAGCUGCGCGCGGCGGCGUGGAGAUCGCGCAGCUUCCUGAGCUGGCGGCUGCUGCUGGCAGCUGGUGCUCUGGCCGCUCGACUGGGGUGGCGUGCGGCGCGAUGUGGAGCGGCGGCGGACAGCAAGCGAGAAGCGGCGGCCCAGGGAGCAAGGAAAAAGAAGAAAGAAAAGAAAGAAGAAGAAGAAAGAAAAAGAAAAAGAAAAAGAAAAAAAAGAAUAGGUCAACCGAUGCUUCCCUCUUCAUUUUCUCUCUUUUUUUUUUUUUAAACCAAGAGCAUUUUCGUCUUUUUCACUCUUUUUUUUUUUUUUUUUUUAGGCGUGACCAUCUGGCGUGGACACGUUUAACUGCUAUAGAGUCCGCAGAACCUGCACAAAAAUUUCUUUCCUUCAGGCGUGACCACCUGGCGUGGGCACGUCUAACUGCUAAUUUCCUGCCACCAAACAUCAAACUAUUAAUUGACACUAACACUUAACUAAAACUUCAAAAAUGCAUGAAAACUGAAAAAAAUAGUCUUGGGUUGCCUCCCAAGUAGCGCCUUUCUUUAAUGUCUUUGGCUAGACAUGCUAUGCUUUGCUCAUGGAGGAUAAAAUCUUGUGGCUCGUUUCAAUGCUUCAUCUUCAACGUAAUCCUGAUAACCCUCAUAGAUGGAGUAAUCCUUGAGCACUCGAGUUACGGGCUUCCAUGGACUAGUGAAUGGCGCCAAACGAGUCGAUGAUAAUUUGCAUUCUCCAUUCACUCCUCCCUCACUUGCAUUUGCUGGUUUGAGAUAUUUUGCCAUCAUGACUCUUAAUUUAUUCCUGGCAUGAAAUUCAAAAUCGUCUGGUAUAAUAAAAUCAAUCUCACUAACAGGAAUUAACGAAUAAGAGUCAGGAAAAUAUUGAUCAAGGAAUGGAGGAGAUGUCACCGCAUUUGGAGAUAGUUCACUGGAUUCAUUCACUUGAACCAUUUGAUGUUGGGGUCUCAAUUCUUGCUCUUUAACUUUCUUUUCAACUACAUCUUUAGAUUCUUCUUCUCGAGACUCUUGCAGUACCAUGUCAUUUGUCAGAAUAAUUGCACUCUCAUCUUCCUCAUGGUCGAUAAUAGUCGGUGAGGGCAAUUCUUCAUAAACUGGAGAAAUCAAUUUGCUCGUUUUAAAUGCCCAUUCACGCCUUGCUUCUUUCAUCUCUUCACUCAUCCUUUGUGUCUCCUGCUGAAUUCGAGAUACAUUAGCAGCUAGUAAUUCUAUCAUCUCUUCAAGAGACAUACCUGACACGGAUGAUGGUUCUUGAGACUCAUACUGCUGAAAAUUCAUUGGCUGCUGAAAAUUCAUUGGCCCUGUUGUAUAAUCAUAACUGGAGUUAUCCCACCAUCCUUGAUCAUACCCGUUUGGAUUAGAGUUAUACCACGUUUGAGACCAGGGUGAAAAAUCUCCAUAAUUAUUGAGUGGGACACUCAGAUUAUCUUGAUAUUCGGGGCACAUACUGGUUGAAUGAUCCCUGGCAAAACAAAUUUUACAGGUUGCAGCAGCCAUUCUUUCUCUAAUAGAGUUUACUGCCUCUUUAUAUGCAAACUUAGCAAAAAUACUAGUCUCAUCGCCUUCCCCGGAAACAAAAUCCAGUCUAUCACCAAAAUAUGGAGUGUUAGCAGCCAUAAAAAAUAAAAAAUAAAAAGAAAAAAAAUAAGAGAAAAAUAAAUUAAAAAAAAUGAAAACAAGAUAAACUCAAAAAGAAACAAAUUAAUCAGGCACCAGUCCCCGGCAACGGCGCCAAAAAUUGACAGGCGUCAAACCUGUGCAAUAAUAAAUACUUGCUUAAAUAAAAUACAAAUUCUGUAUAUAGCGGUAAGCAGGGUCGAAUCCACAGGGACUGGGGAUAAUUUAAUUUCUUUUCAAGUUCCAGAUAUGGGGGGUUUUUGAAAAUGAUAGUAACUAAAUUACUUGGAAUAAAUUAAAAUAAAAUAAAAUAAUUACAACUCAAAUAACUAAUUAUCACAAUAAAAAUAAUAAUGGACGAACUCUAGCCAAGAGACAACUUCGGAGAUGGUUCACUUAAUUUGAUCACAGAUGCAAGGAUUAUUCCAGUUACUAUCUGAUAAAUUAGUUAUAAUUGUCAUACACGCGAUAAACAACCAACUCUUCCUCAAUUUGUCGAUAGCCAAGGUACGACCGUUGACUAUUUCUCUAAUCAGGAAAUAACCCUAGGUACGACCAUAGAAGUUCAAUUCCCUAAUUGCAUGAAUAAUUAGAAGAGCCUAAUUCUAACCAAUCAACACGCUACGAGGGUCUCUUUAAGUUAGCCUGUCUAUCUCCCUGACACAAACCCAAUCAUGCCAGUUGCCACCAGUUUAGAAUAAUUAAACAAUUACGGAUUUAACUACCCUAAUUGGCUUCAGGUUAUUGAAUUAAUCUAGAAUCCGGGCCCUGGAUAAUCGAAUAAUAAAACAACCAUAUGAACAUAAAGCAGAAGAUAGACAAAUACCAGUGAAUAAUGAAAAUAAAUAAAAACUAAUUCGAUCUCACAAAUUUAGUAGAACCAAAUCCUUCGUUGUUCUUGGCCAGACAAACUUAGCCACGCCUCAUGAGAAAAUCUUCAAGUAAUUUCAUUGAGGUCCAGGCCAUCAAAAGAGCCAUGAAAGAAACGAAACUAAAACUAUGCUAAAAACUGUCUAAACUAAAACUAUUGAUUGAUAAGCUUUCUCUGCACGUUUGUCUCCCUUUUUAAAGCCAAAAGGAAGUCUAAUGCUAUCUCUAGUGGUCCCCACACCAAAUUCAAAGUCUUGUACGUUUCUUUUCCUAGAGUCCAGAUGACUCAUGCUUCUUAUCCGUGGUCCCCGCACAUGUGGACAAAGACUCCCAAGUACUUGUUGUUCCAAGUCUCUCUACGUUGCUUUCUUUGAAAAGCCCAAAUGACUAAAUGCCUUGCACUAGCUUGUGGUCCCCACCAAUUCAAGGACCUAAAGGUUGAAGCCCUUAGAAGUCUGCAUUUUUCCAUACAAGUCCCUCCUUUUUGGUAAUUUUCUGCUUCACUCCUGAAAUUGAUUCCAAAUACCAAAUAUGAGUAAAUAUCAGCAAUUAACACAAUAUUUGUCAGGGAUAGAAAGGGAAAUCAAUAAUAAAUUUACUAACAAAUUAUACCCUAUCAAAUACUAAAUCAAAAAAUGUCCCCAUGUCCCUAAGAACAAAAUUCAUCAUUGCUCUAGCACUCUUAGAAAUAGAGACAUAAUCUGCCUUCAUAGUAAAACUAUAAUCAAUAAGUAAAUAAAAAAGAGAACCAAUGAGUUUUUUAAUUAUUAGACAUAAUAGUCUAUUCUUUAUCUUCCAACUCUCAAUUUCAUUUUUUCCCUAUAUCACUACGACCUUUUUCAUCUUCUACUAAUUUGAUAAUAAAAUCCACAGUCUGCACCUUGUUAAUCUGGUAACUUCAAUUGGCUAACAUAUGUAAAGAGUAAAGCUUUUUUUUUUUUUUUUAAAGCAAGGGUCUCAAAUUUUAUAGUAAGAAAGAGAUAGGAAGACAAAAAAGUAUAGAUAAAUUUUAGAGAUGAUAAAAAAUUGAUUGCGGUGUGGUUGGUAACAAUGGAGUGCGGUAUUUGAUGAGAGGAAGAAGCGGUUUAGGAGAAAAGAGAGAAGAGUAUGAAAGAGAGAUGGAGGGAGGGAGGAAAAGAUAAAAAUUAGAAAAUUGAUAGGGAUGUUCUAUAAAAUUAAGAAAUGGCACGUAGAAUAAUAAGAAAUAUUUUUCGGAUUUAAAUGCCGCUUUAUGAAUUAACUAUUAAGUUGAGGACACCAAAGGAGGUUUAUGUAAUUAUUGAAACCUCGAAGGAGUUGAGUGAAGUUGUUAGAAACCUCAAGGAAGGUUUCUGAAAUCAUCCCUUAUUCAUAGAGCAGAACAAAUAAAAGAAAUAAAAAAGGGGUGAAGAAACAUUUUUUCAGAUCUGUGAUGGAGUAUAACAUAACUAUGUAGAAAAUAAGUCUCUUCUCCUUUACCAAAAUUUGGAGUCUAGGGACUUGUGAAUUUAUGUCAUACAUAUAUAUAUAUAUAUAUAUAUAUAUAUAUAUAUAUAUAUAUAUAUAUAUAUAUAUAUAUAUAUAUAUCUUUCUUCUCAGAAACAAAACUCUUCUUCCUUGGGAGGAAGACCAAUUGGUCUUCGUUCGCCCUAUGUUUUUUUUUUUUAUUAUUAUUUGUAAUAAAGUCCUUCCUAAGUUUUUCUUCUUUUCUACGGAUUCUUAGUAAGAGUUCUGGUUAUUUUUAUAUUUCUUUUAUUGAUAUAAGUUUUUUCCAAUUUAUAUGUUAGAUUGGGAUUUCUUAUAUUUAUCUCGUCAAAUCUCACAUUAACACCUAGGGGAAAGCAAGCAGUGCGAUUUUUUUUUUUUCGUUUACGAAGCAACAAUGAGAAUAUUAAGUAGCGUGGUUAGAAACAUACACAGAUGAUCUCAGAAUUAUAAGUGUUUUAUCUAUUAAGCAUUUUUUAAAGUUUCACAAUGUAAUAUUUUCUUGACUUUUCAAAUCUAUGGUAUCUAGUUUUGUUCUUUAAAUGUAUUUGUAUCUAUGUAUUGUUGAUGUAAUGUCCGCCAUUAGUGUAGAUUUAAUGAAUGAUGAUAUUUUUAUUUAAAAAAUAAAAACGCUUAGUUCAAUCAACUGUUUUCUCUAGUAUGCCUAAUUAAAGAGAAUUAAUGAAUCAAUAGAUAUUUUAGUUUUAUCCAUUUUUGCAUCUAACUAUCCUCUAAUCAAUUUUACUUAUAAUUUCUCUCUAUUCUAAUAACUCCUAUCUCUUUUAAUAAAUUUGAAUUAUUUUUUAUCCAUAUAUGGUGUAACUUUUCUUAGUAUGAAUUUAAUUAUUACAUUGGUAAGUUUAUUAACUUUGAUAGAAAAUAAUAACUCAUUCAUGUAAAAAUAAAUUCUGAAAUUUUUUGCUUUGUCUUGAGUUCAAAACGAAUAUGAGUAGUACAUGAUCAUAUUCAUGAGAGAAUUUAAAUACUAUCCCAAAGAAUACCUAUUAUAUAGUAAUUUUUUUUGCGCAUUAUACUAUUUAAUGAAUAUUAUAAUACUCUAAAAUAUUUAUGUAUAAAAGUUUCUAAAACUAAUAUAGGAGUUAAAUGUUUGAAACAUAAUAAUUUUUUAAAUGUAAAUAUGACUAAUAUAUAUAAAAAAAUUGUUUAUGCCUUGUAUGGAUUCAUAACUAAUCACAAUAAAAAAUAUUUCUUCCUCGAAACAAAAAUUCUAUUCAGUUUAAAUUCUUCCACACAUCACGGCCAAACAACUCCACCACCAUGUGCCACUUACCAGAACAUUGACCAAUAGCAUGAAACUACGAAUGAUGGGAUGGAGGAAUGGGAGGUUUGGCAGCUCAAUCAUUUUUAAUCAUUGUCAAUUAUUCCAAAACAAAGUCAUCAGGCAUUUAUUCCUUCCCAUAUCUUUGUGUUUCGCAGCACCAAAUCUGGCGCCUUGGAUUAUGCAAUACUCCUCAAUCAUGAUCCCUGUAUAAGAACCUUUUCUUUACUUUUCUUUUUUUUUUUUUAAGAAAAAAAUAUGUGAAAAUUUUCAACACACAAAAAAUGAUUAACUCAUACUUUUAACAAAUUUAAAAAUUAACUCAUAUACAUUUUUUUACUACAAGCGGGUUGAAUGUAUAUCACACGUGUGAAAAGAUAGAGAUAUCAAUGUAAGUUAUGUAUCAUACCACUAUCAUGUAUUUACGCCUGUCAAUGUAUAAAACUUUUAUAUCAAUAAUAUUAAAAAAAUUAAUCCAUAAUUUAUAAGGAAAACCAUACAAAUAGUUUAUCACAUUUCCUUUAUUCCUUUUAAUUUUUUUCGCACUCAAAAUGUACUUCAUUUUGUUCUCUCACAUCUUCCAAAGUGUUGCAUAUCUGGCAAAGUCCAGUUUUUGUCUUAAAAGUACAUGAACACAUCACAUGACCAAAAUUUUGGAACAAAAAUGGAGCACUUCUUUUUCUUUUUCUUUUUCUUUUUUUAAAAAAAAAAAACUGUUUUCUAAACCCAUUGAGAAUGCUAACUUUUUUCCCUUAAUUUGCUUCUUUUUUUUCCCUUAUUAAAUGUGCAUAAAGCGAAAAGCUACAUCUCACAGAACCAACAAAAAGGCGAGGAAACAAAAGAAAAAGAGGAGAAAACGUGUAGAUGCGUUGAUGAAAAAAGAAAAGAUGAUGGAACAAAAUGUGCAGCCGAAAAAUGCACAGCUUUUUUAGAGCAUCUUAUAACAAUCAACGAGCAUUUCUUGACAGGAGAAGCAAAUUGACAGGCUACUUGUCUCCAUAAAAUCCAAAUGACUUAUGUCCGAUGAAGAAGAAAAGGCACAUGAGAGAGAGGAAUAAAAGAAAGCAAGGGAUAACGCAGCUAGACCUCGUUUGUUUUUAUCCAAAAUCCAAAAAAUGACUGUCCUUGGACAGCAAAAGUGAUUGUAAUUAGAGGGCUCUAAUUGCAUAUUCUGAUAUAAAGGAUUUAAUCUCAUGUUUCAAGGAGCUAACUAUAUAUUUUGUACAUCGCCAAUGUAAUCAAACUGCUGACUUUAUGACUAGUUAUUUCAAUAGGGUGGAUAAAGUUAUUUUUGAGUCAAAUUUUCCCCUGAUCUUCUUAGAAUUGUAGAGGAAGAUAAGAGGGAAAAGUUAACGGUUAGACUGUAAAUUCUUAUUUUUGUUAUAUAAAACUCGUCAAUUCUCCAAAAAAAAAAAUCCAAAAAAUGACCCCAAAUAGGAGUUUAACGAACCAGGCAGCCCCCCAUUUGUAUGAUAUGAACCGAGUCUGAACCGGUUCUGGAUCUUCUGUUACACUUUCAUGUGUUAUACCCCGUUACACUAUAAAUCGCGUAAUAGUUGGUAUAUCUUUUCAUUGAGUUGGUGUAAAUUAAUACUUGGUGUAAAUUGUGUUAGAGUUAUCACCAACUUGAGAAGUGUAACGAGAGGUUUAACGCCCAUUUGUGUAAUACUACAGAGUAUUGGUGGUUAUCUGAACCUAACUCGAGUAGCUUAAACACCCUUAAAUAAGCUUGAGUUCAAGAAACGAUAUGUGAGGUUUGAAAGUUAAUCGUAGUACUGUUAUUAUGCGAUGCAAGAAGUGGGAUAAUAUCAUAUGUUCUAAUCAUCUGGUUUGAUAUUUAUUCUGAUGAAUUAAUUUGGUUGCUAGUUUCAUGGAAAUAAGAAGCUCUCUAAGAAGUUAAUUAACAAGUUGUAAGACCAAUCUUUAAAUUUUGUAAUUUUAUUACUCUGUUUUCCUACAUAUGAAGUAUUCUCUUUUUAUAUGGACUAUCUCAUGGAUAAAUUUACUUAUUUGAGAAAAAAAAUUACUGGCAGCACAACUUUUGUUGUUCAAAAGCUGCAGAAACGAAAUUAUCUCUCUCUCUCUAUAUAUAUAUAUAUAAAAAGUAGGGGGUUUGAAUCAAGAACCUCAUCCUUACAAUUCUUUCCACCAUACUAUCCAAUCCAACCCAGCCCUCCCCAGUUGUAUUCUUUCAUAUGAUUUCUGUCACUAGAGCAUGAUGAAAUUAUGAUUAUUUUAUAAAAAAAAAAGCUACAAAAAAGGUUAUAAACAAGGAAUGUUGGAAAGAAUUUCAUGUAGAAAGUUACCAGGCAACUAGAAUAUAACGUCUUAGGUUUAAUUACACUCUAAAAAUGGAUUAAUCAUUGUUUUUUUUUUUUGAAUGAGGAGGAUUAAAUAUAAGAUCUUUGCAAGGGAAUGGGAAUAUAAAUACACAGACAUGAGAGAACAACAUAUUUCGCUAGAACAUUUUUUUUCCUCUAAUAGGAGAAGGGUGGAAUUUAAAAAGUGGAGAGGGCUGCACGAUUUCUAAUUCUUGGAACUUCAAUCAUUCAUUGGAACUCUUCUUUAAGAAAGACUUUGUUCUUCCACAAAUCACGGGUUGAUAACAAUAAUGUAAUUUAACUUAAUAAAUCAUUUUAUUGCCCAUCUAAGUCUCCUUUUAGCUGGCAGUAAGUAUAGGUUUAAAAGUCUAGAAUGUGACUUUUUGUGAAGAAAAUUCACUAAGUAUGCAUGUUUUUUAUAAGCUUUUAGCUCAAGCUUAUGGGGGACAACUUUGCUGCACAAUAAAUCAAGAUAGGGAUGUAAAAAUUGUUAUGCUUUAACGCAUUAUUUAAAGAUUAUUCAACAAACUUUGUGCAAAUUUUUCUUAAAGCCGACCGGAGGAAAUUGCACAACAAUUUCUGUAACAGUUAAUCCAGACAUGGAAAAGCAUUAUAUAAAACCAGCUAAGAGUACACUAGCACAGAAAAGCGCCGUAAAAAAAAAAAUAUAUAUAUUUGUUUCAACUAGUAAACGUCAUUUCUGCCCACUUUGGAUGCAUACUCAGCCCACAUAUUCGUACAUGUUACUUUUUUUUUUUUUUUUUGUUCGUGUCUAAAGAUGUAGAUAACCUAUUAAAUUAGAAUGAGGUGCCAAUCUGAAGAAGGGAUUUACACGAUUAAAGAAAGUGGACUUAGAAAGAAAAAGUAGCAGAUUUUACUGAGCUAAAAAUGUGGACUUGGAUGAAGAAUCAUGACUGUAUAUGACUAAAUUAGCAUUGCUAGCUAUAUUAAACGAAACACCAAUACGAGAUUUCAAAACGAAUAAUACGGACCCUAAUAUUAACUUCAUUCAUAAUCAUUUUUUUUUUGGUUAGAAAAUUGCUUUCUUUAGGAAAAACCGGUAUUGGAUGAGGGGAAGUGUAUUGUGGGGGUCUUUGGAAUCGAAAACCUUUUGACCUAGGAUAGUGGGGGGAGUGGGACAAAAGCUUUGGGGCCCGACAAGUCAGUCAGCACGCGGAAAACACACGACUUCCAUAAAGCGUGGCGACUUCCAAAAAGCGUGACGCAAGUGUUUUACUUCAUAAACUAAAGACGUAGCCACGCUAACAGACAGCCCAUCAACAGCAUGAUGCCCAAUCUCCUCUGGCUCAGAGUACUACUGGUCACUUUUGUUCAUCCAUAUCUAUAAAGCCAAGAAGCCAACAAUAAACGUGCAAAUCUGCUGCUUUUGGAUUUGGACCACCAAAAAAUAUGGCGAAAUGGGGGAGAAGGAGCUGGGAAAUAGAGAGAAAUUAUGAUGUUUGACCGAUUUGUGUCCAUUGCUUUACAAUUUUUGAUGCUUCAUUCAACUUAACGAGUCUUGUGACUUCUCAACCAGAAGGUUAUUUGGAGACCGACUGUGGCUCAGACUGGAAGCUUUUGGCAAAAAUCUUCCACUUCUACUCGUGAAUUAUUAUUGACAAGACAUUAUUCAACUUUGGUGGAGGGAGUUGGCAGUUGUGUCAUUCCACUACGAGUGAUUUCUAUGCAAAUCAAUUGUGGCUUAAAUCGUGCUGGCAUUAUGAUGUGGCUGGAGCCCAGACUGUAAAUUUCGAAAAUAAAAGAAUUAAAAAUGAACGGCACAGAUCAGAUCGACCUGACCUGAUUUAAUCUAAUUUGACCGUAAAUUAGACUCUGCAAUUGCUAAUCUUUGUACCGCUUCUCGGUAGCGCCCCCCUCCUCAGCUCCGUUAAAUGUAGAGGUGGUAAAUUAAUCCACCUAACUAAAUUUAUCCAUAUCCGUCCAUAAAUAGAUGUGUAUGAGUAUCUUAAAUUUUUGUAUAUGGGUAUAAAUGGGUUAUCAAACUCAAUUAACUCAUUUAGAAUUCUCUUCCUCCCAAGUCUCUUCUUUUUCCCCACCCAUUUUUUAAAAUUUUUUUCAUUCUAUCAUGAUGUUAACUACUUUUGUUUCAUUAUUAUUAUUAUUAUUAUUAUUUGUUGGUUUUAUCUUAUUAUUUUAUUUUCUCUUAGUUUGUUAACUUGCUCAUUUUUCAGCAUUACCAAUUUAUGAUAAAUUUUAGUCUAUUUUCUUAUUUUUCUAAAAUGAAAUUUUAAAUUUAUAUAUCAAAAAAUUUUAGGGGUUCAAAAUUUUUGGAUUAAGUUUUUAUAGUAAUUAGUUCAAUUUUUUAUAUUCUUAUUAUUCAAUUAUUAAAUAAUAGGUAAUUUUGUGACAUAGAGUAUAAAUGAAAAAAAAAGGUAAUUAGGCUUAUUGAACAUUAUAAGUAAAUAUUGAAAACUAAUGAUGGGUACAAAGAGCGGUAUAAAUUGAUAACUUAGUUUGCAAAAAUGAAUUUAAAUGAGUUUACAAAAGGUUAAAAUAAAUGGGUAAUUGGGUUACCCAAUUCAUUUUUUGACUUACCCAUUUAUAUCUAUCUAAUUAAAUAGGUAUAAAUGGGUUGACUCACUUAUACCCAUUACUCAUUUUAUCUAACCCAAACCCGACCAAGUCACCCAUUUUGACACCUCUAGUUAAAUGUCAAAUUGCUAAAAUCUCCUACUUCAAGAUCAAGGAGGAGGAAUUUAUGCUUCUUUCCUUAGGGAACGAGGCAUUGCUCAUUUUUUUUUUGGUGAUAAAAUAAUUGUAACUGACAAUUCUCCUUAGCCAAACAUUUUCUAAACAAUAGCCACAAAUAUUUGUUGCUGCUUCUAUUGAAUUAGCAGGCACAUUAGAUGCACAAGGUAUUAUUUUUAAGUUAGGAAAUGACAAGAUGCAAGUCCACGAACAUCCAUGGUAAAUGUCUAAAAAAAAAGAGUUGGCUUGAUCAUAGAGAACAUUUUAUCACAUUCUGAAGGCUAAAAUUAGACCUUAAAACUAAUGUUAGGCACUACUUCCAUAAUUGUCACCGUCUAGCGCAAAUUACCUUCUUGAAUUUUAUCAUUUUCAGGAUCAAUUUCGAACCCAAAAAAAAAAAAGAAAAAGAAAGAGAGACAUUUUUCCUCAAACAUGUGCCCUUUAUUGAUUUUAAACUAUUUAAAAUGAAACUACAAAUUCCCACUUUGGAAGAUAGAUUGGAAAAUUGAUGUCAAUUUUGCCAUGCUACAAAUGCCUUCAACGUGGUGAACAACAUCCACAUGCAAUUUCCCAAAGCAUGGAACAAGAAGAACUGUUUGAUGAAAAGAAAUAGACAUCCUAGAACCAACAUAAACAGCCAGCCUUUGUGCCCAAAAAAUAAAAACAGAGGGAAAAAAAACAAGAAAAUUAAAGGCCAGUGGCCCCAGUUCUCAAUGUCAAUGUUGAAAACUUUUCCUGAACAGUUUCCUUAGCCAAAUUGUUAAAGUGGACUCUUUCAGACUGCAACAAUGCAUGGCUGCUGCCUGCAGGUUGAAGCCCAAAGCAAUUCCUUCCUAAACGCCCAAAUUACCCUAAGCAUUUCAGGCCCAAAUAAAUGGAUAUAAAUUAGGUCCAAUCUACAUGUUCCCCGCUUGGAUUCUGUUCUUAUUUAGCAAAAUUAAUGUCCUUACAACCCAACUUAGUUGGUAUCGACAUUGAUCAAGUGAUCAUAAGAUUCUUAGUUUCGAUACAAGAAAUUGUAAAAUCAAUUUUUCUAAACAUUUUCUCUCAUUUUGCAUAAAACUUGUCAAGCAUGUUUUGUAAUUAGACACCUUUUAAUUAAUUUUUAAUUUGUCAAUUACACAAUAGAUGGAACACUUUACCAGAUAGCCUUUUCCGAUUGUGAUUAUCAGAGCUUUUCUUGAAAAUGAAGUUUUGAGGGUUAAUAAUUGCAACCAUCUAGCUUCUAGGAUAAAUUCGAUAAUAGAUAAUUCUACAUUGACUUGCUUGCCUUCUGCCCAACUAAUAUUUGGACAAAUUUCAAAAAUUAUAUUAAAAAAAAAAAAGGGUUGAGAGGCACUAUGAAAUCAGAAAAAGUUCAUAAACACAUUUUCAAAGUUGUCCUCAUACUUGACAUGGAGAAAGAAGAACUUCUCAUACCGGUGGAACAACAAGAGAAACCAUUACAACUUUGAUUUAGUACAACCAAGCAUAAAUCCAGAUCCUGCUAGUAAUUCUAUUCACAGUUUUACAGCUUAUAUACAAGUGCCAUCUCAUUGGAAUAAGCUCUAGCACAAUGACAAAUGCUGAUUCACAAAUUUCUAUUCUUUUCUGCUUUCAUCUGAGUAAGAUUCUGCUAAAGUCGAAUCUGUAAACUCCAGUAUUACAUCAUCAAGGUAGCUGAUACAACUACACCAUACUAGCUGUUACCUUGAUCUACAUUAGGAUGAUUAUCAGGGACACAAUCAGCAUCGUGUUCGUUUAGAUUAUUUUCCACUUCACCAGGAUCAUCAUCGGAUUCAGAUACUGAGCUAGAAUCCAGUCCUGUUUCUAGACAUUCAAGUUGCACACAUUCAGGUAGUGGAUCAUGCGGUGAAUCACGUGGAGAACUAAUACUUGAUUCACGACUCCUGGUUGUUGGUG